rnacentral:rRNA from 1 species
GAUGAACGCUGGCGGCGUGCUUAACACAUGCAAGUCGAACGGACUUUUAUUGAAGCCUAGCGAUAUAAAAGUUAGUGGCGCACGAGUGAGUAACGCGUGGGAAACUGCCCACCACUGGGGAAUAACGUUUGGAAACGAACGCUAAUACCGCAUACGCCGGAAACGGGAAAGAUUUAUCGGUGGUGGAUGUGCCCGCGUUGGAUUAGCUUGUUGGUGGGGUAAUGGCCUACCAAGGCGACGAUCGGUAGCCGAACUGAGAGGUUGAUCGGCCGCAUUGGGACUGAGACACGGCCCAGACUCCUACGGGAGGCAGCAGUGGGGAAUAUUGCACAAUGGGGGAAACCCUGAUGCAGCGACGCCGCGUGAGUGAAGAAGUAUUUCGGUAUGUAAAGCUCUAUCAGCAGGGAAGAAAAUGACGGUACCUGACUAAGAAGCCCCGGCUAACUACGUG